rnacentral:rRNA from 1 species
AUGGUUAUAAAAUUCACUUUGCCAGAUGGCGUAAUGUCUGAUAUGAAGAUUUUUGAGCUUGUGAUAGAGUUUGAUUAUUAUCCUAAUGUUUCCAUUGCUUAUCACAUCUUAGUUACUGCACAUAUGACUAUCGCAUCAGCUUGAAUAAGCUUUUCAAAGUUGUUAUUGAAGAACUAUUUGAGUUCAGUAAUGACACAAGAGAGAUUGAAUGAUUUGGCAACGAUAUGCAUAGAGAAGAAAUUAUUGGAUGAGCCUAACAUUGAUCAUAAAUGA